UACGGAGGGGGCAAGCGUUACUCGGAAUUAUUGGGCGUAAAGGGCGCGUAGGCGGUCGUGUGCGUCAGAGGUGAAAUCCCCGGGCUUAACCCGGGAGCUGCCUCUGAUACGGCAUGGCUUGGGUCCGGGAGAGGGGAGCAGAAUUCCCGAGUGUAGCGGUGAAAUGCGUAGAUAUUAGGGAGGAAUACCGGGUGGCGAAAGGC
rnacentral:rRNA from 1 species